GACGAACGCUGGCGGCGUGCUUAACACAUGCAAGUCGAACGGAAAGGCCCUGCUUUUGCUCGGUUCUCGUGUGCCGAACGGGUGAGUAACACGCGAGUAACCUGCCCCUGACAUUGGGAUAUCUCCAGGGAACUGGGGCUCUUACCCCAUAUGAGCUCCUGCUGCAUGGUGGGGGUUGGAAAGAUUCGGCGGUUGUGGCUGGACUCGCGGGUUAUCAGCUUGUUUGUGAGGUAGUGGCUUACCAAGGCUUUGACGGGUAGCCGGCCUGGGAGGGUUAACGGGCACAUUGGGACUAAGAGACGGCGCAGACGCGUACGGGCGGCAACGGGGGAGAGUCUGGCACAGUGGCCGGAAGCCUGUGGCAACGGCGUCGCGUGCGGGAUGCCGGCCUUCGGGUUAUAAACCGCUUUCGACGGAGACGAAGAGGGAGUGACGGUAAUGGGUCAGGAAGCCCCGGCUAACUACGUG
rnacentral:rRNA from 1 species